GACGAACGCUGGCGACGUGCUUAACACAUGCAAGUCGAACGAAGUGGCGAACGGGUGAGUAACGCGUAAUCAACCUGCCCUUCAGAGGGGGACAACAGUUGGAAACGACUGCUAAUACCGCAUACUGAAGGAGGGGAUUGCGUCUGCUUGGCUCGUUGGCGGGGUAACGGCCCACCAAGGCGAUGAUCAGUAGCCGGUCUGGUAGGAUGAACGGCCACAAUGGGAACUGGACACGGCCCAGAAUCCUACGGGAGGGAGCCGUGGGGAAUCUUCCGCAAUGGACGAAAGUCUGACGGAGCAACGCCGCGUGAGUGAUGACGGCCUUCGGGUUGUAAAGCUCUGUUAAUCGGGACGCGGUACCGGAAUAGAAAGCCACGGCUAACUACGUGCCAGCAGCCGCGGUAAUUC
rnacentral:rRNA from 1 species